GAUCGCGAGGAGACCAGAAUGCCUGUACACCCUGAGGGUGUGUGCAGUGCACACCUGAAAGUUGGCAAGGUGAUGGAGGAACUGGUUGAACGGACUGAAGCUGUGGAGAACAGACUGGCUGCAGGAGCAGUAACAUCAGCGACUCUGCAGCAGAUUCCUACAACCCAUCUCGUGAGGUAAAAAGGAUCCACAGGAGUCUGGAGGACAGGCACAAAUACAGAGGAAAUGAGAGGUUCACUUCUGAGCACAACUCCGGUGGCACAAAUUCAAUGUUGUGGACAAUUGCAGAUGAAGAGGAAUGUGACACCUCUUUGAUCAGAACAACAGAUACUUUGAGAACAUCAGGAGGG